UUGUCUCAAAGAUUAAGCCAUGCAUGUCUCAGUACAAGCCAAAUUAAGGUGAAACCGCGAAAGGCUCAUUAAAUCAGUUAUGGUUCCUUAGAUCGUACCCACACUUACUUGGAUAACUGUGGUAAUUCUAGAGCUAAUACAUGCAAACAGAGCUCCGACCGGAGACGGAAGGAGCGCUUUUAUUAGAUCAAAACCAAUCGGUGGCGGGUCCGCUCGUCAUCGUAUAACUUGGUGACUCUGAAUAACUUUAAGCUGAUCGCACGGUCUAGCACCGGCGACGCAUCUUUCAAAUGUCUGCCUUAUCAACUGUCGAUGGUAGGUUCUGCGCCUACCAUGGUCGUAACGGGUAACGGGGAAUCAGGGUUCGAUUCCGGAGAGGGAGCCUGAGAAACGGCUACCACAUCCAAGGAAGGCAGCAGGCGCGCAAAUUACCCACUCCCGGCACGGGGAGGUAGUGACGAAAAAUAACGAUACGGGACUCAUCCGAGGCCCCGUAAUCGGAAUGAGUACACUCUAAACCCUUUAACGAGGAUCAAUUGGAGGGCAAGUCUGGUGCCAGCAGCCGCGGUAAUUCCAGCUCCAAUAGCGUAUAUUAAAGUUGUUGCGGUUAAAAAGCUCGUAGUCGAAUUUGUGUCCCGCGCCGCCGGUUCAUCGUCCGCGGUGUUAACUGGCGUGUCGCGGGACGUCCUGCCGGUGGGCUUAGCUCUUCGGGGCGGUCCAACUCAAUCCCGCCGCGGUGCUCUUCACUGAGUGUCGAGGUGGGCCGGCACGUUUACUUUGAACAAAUUAGAGUGCUUAAAGCAGGCUAAAACUUCGCCUGAAUACUGUGUGCAUGGAAUAAUGGAAUAGGACCUCGGUUCUAUUUUGUUGGUUUUCGGAACCCCGAGGUAAUGAUUAAUAGGAACGGAUGGGGGCAUUCGUAUUGCGAAGCGAGAGGUGAAAUUCUUGGACCGUCGCAAGACGGACAGAAGCGAAAGCAUUUGCCAAAAACGCUUUCAUUGAUCAAGAACGAAAGUUAGAGGUUCGAAGGCGAUCAGAUACCGCCCUAGUUCUAACCAUAAACGAUGCCAGCUAGCGAUCCGCCGACGUUCCUCCGAUGACUCGGCGGGCAGCUUCCGGGAAACCAAAGCUUUUGGGUUCCGGGGGAAGUAUGGUUGCAAAGCUGAAACUUAAAGGAAUUGACGGAAGGGCACCACCAGGAGUGGAGCCUGCGGCUUAAUUUGACUCAACACGGGAAAUCUCACCAGGCCCGGACACCGGAAGGAUUGACAGAUUGAGAGCUCUUUCUUGAUUCGGUGGGUGGUGGUGCAUGGCCGUUCUUAGUUGG
rnacentral:rRNA from 1 species